rnacentral:lncRNA from 1 species
AUUCUCCUUGGGGAAGGUCACAGAGCAGGAUGAGAAUGGAACCGGGAGACAGGAACAAAGCAGAGACCCUGAAGCCUGGUCUGUGGGCAGAAAAGCCUCUAGAGGCCCGACUAUCAAAGGGACAUGAUGCCUUUAAGGAGGAUGAAGUCAUCGGGGGAUGAGGCCACCUGGCUCUGCAGCCAGGGCUGCUGCCGAAAAGGAGGAGCAGAAGGUGGAAGGUGCUUUGGGCACCAUACUUGCCCCACCAUAGUGCUGGUCCUGAUCCAACUUAGAAGGUACCUGAAGUGACAGCCCACUGAGACUGCAUCAGGUGGCAGCUGGUGCCUCCCCAAAGGAUGACUGGCGACUGUUAGCAGAAGGAGCAGAAUGGAUGCCAGACAGGUGAAAUACAGGUGCCCACACCCUGAGGCUU